rnacentral:misc_RNA from 1 species
AAGUCGUAACAAGGUUUCCGUAGGUGAACCUGCGGAAGGAUCAUUACAAAUCAUGGCGAACCUCGCGUUUCGCGAGGUUUUGCGUCCAUUUUUAUAUUUAAAACAUCCCACUCUUUAAAAAUAUUUAUCUAAUGAUAAAAAUAAAAAAAGAUCACUUUCAACAACGGAUCUCUUGGCUCUC